rnacentral:rRNA from 1 species
UGGGGAAUUUUGGACAAUGGGCGAAAGCCUGAUCCAGCAAUGCCGCGUGUGUGAAGAAGGCCUUCGGGUUGUAAAGCACUUUUGUCCGGAAAGAAAUCCUUGGCUCUAAUAUAGUCGGGGGAUGACGGUACCGGAAGAAUAAGCACCGGCUAACUACGUGCCAGCAGCCGCGGUAAUACGUAGGGUGCAAGCGUUAAUCGGAAUUACUGGGCGUAAAGCGUGUGCAGGCGGUUUGCUAAGACCGAUGUGAAAUCCCCGGGCUCAACCUGGGAACUGCAUUGGUGACUGGCAGGCUAGAGUAUGGCAGAGGGGGGUAGAAUUCCACGUGUAGCAGUGAAAUGCGUAGAGAUGUGGAGGAAUACCGAUGGCGAAGGCAGCCCCCUGGGCCAAUACUGACGCUCAUGCACGAAAGCGUGGGGAGCAAAACAGGAUUAGAUACCCUGGUAGUCCACGCCCUAAAACGAUGUCAACUAGUUGUUGGGGAUUCAUUUCCUUAGUAACGUAGCUAACGCGUGAAGUUGACCGCCUGGGGAGUACGGUCGCAAGAUUAAAACUUAAAUGAAUUGACGGGGUCAUA